rnacentral:tRNA from 2 species
GGGCGGAUGGUUUAGUGGUAUAAUACUCCCUUAGCAAGAUUCAUUCAACUGAGUUAUCUGGGAGUGGUCCAGGGUUCGAUUCCCUGUUCGUCCA